CCCUUAGAUGUUCUGGGCCGCACGCGCGCUACACUGACGUACUCAUCGAGCUUACAACCUUGCCACGAAAGGGCUGGGUAAACUUUGAAAAUACGUCGUGAUGGGGAUAGAUGAUUGCAAUUAUUCAUCUUCAACGAGGAAUUCCUAGUAGACGCAAGUCAUCAACUUGCAUCGAUUACGUCCCUGCCCUUUGUACACACCGCCCGUCGCUACUACCGAUUGAAUGGUUUAAUGAGUAUCAUGGACUGCUGCGUGAGUGGAGUUUUCUCUGUUUGCGCAAGUGGAAAGUGCCGCGAAUUUGAUCAUUUAGAGGAAGUAAAAGUCGUAACA
rnacentral:rRNA from 1 species